rnacentral:piRNA from 1 species
UUUAGGGAAAGUAUCGAAAUCAUUAGGGC